AUGCUUUAUUGGGUGAUGGUUCUGCACGCUCAAUAAACAAACUCCAGUUAGUCCAAAAUGCGACAGCUAGAGUUCUUACUAGAACCAGGAAGUAUGACCAUAUUAGCCCGGUCCUGUCCACACUGCACUAGCUCCCUAUCAAACCUCAUACAGAUUUAAAAUCUUGCUUAUUACUUAUAAAGACCUGAAUGGUUUAGCCCCUCAUUAUUUGAACAAGCUAUAGUAUAGUCCUCCACAUCUGCUGCAUUCUCAAAACUCAGGCAAUUCGAUAAUACCUAAACUAUCAAAAUCAACUGCGGGCGGCAGAUCCUUUUCCUAUUUAGUGCCUAAACUCUGGAAUAACCAACAUAACAUUGUUCGGGAGGCAGUGACACUAAUUUUAAAUCUAGAUUAAAGACCCAUCUCUUUAAUCUGGCUAACACAUGACACACUAAAACCUUUCUGAUUUUCAAAUCUGUUAAAAAAAUAUAUAGGCUGCAAAACCAUGAAAACUUCCCAUAACACCCUAUGUACUUGCUACAUCAUUAGAAGUAUGGCAUCUACGCUAAUAUUUGUCUGUUUCUCUCUUGUUCCGAGGUCACUGUAGCCACCAGAUCCAGUCUGUGUCCAGAUCAGAGGGUCACUGCAGUCACCCGGAUCCAGUACGUAUCCAGACCAGAUGGUGGAUCAGCACCUAGAAAGGACCUCUACAUCCCUGAAAGACAGCGGAGACCAGGACAACUAGAGCCCCAGAUACAGAUCCCCUGUAAAGACCUUGUCUCAGAGGAGCACCAGGACAAGACCACAGGAAACAGAUGAUUCUUCUGCACAAUCUGACUUUGCUGCAGCCUGGAAUUGAACUACUGGUUUCGUCUGGUCAGAGGAGAACUGACCCCCCAACUGAGCCUGGUUUCUCCCAAGGUUUUUUUCUCCAUUCUGUCACCGAUGGAGUUUCGGUUCCUUGCCGCUGUCGCCUCUGGCUUGCUUAGUUGGGGUCACUUCAUCUACAGCGAUAUCAUUGACUUGAUUGCAAAUAAAUGCACAGACACUAUUUAAACUGAACAGAGAUGACAUCACUGAAUUCAAUGAUGAACUGCCUUUAACUAUCAUUUUGCAUUAUUGACACACUGUUUUCCAAAUGAAUGUUGUUCAGUUGCUUUGACGCAAUGUAUUUUGUUUAAAGCGCUAUAUAAAUAAAGGU